rnacentral:rRNA from 1 species
AACGAACGCUGGCGGCAGGCUUAACACAUGCAAGUCGAACGCCCCGCAAGGGGAGUGGCAGACGGGUGAGUAACGCGUGGGAACCUACCUCUUGGUGCGGAAUAACUCAGGGAAACUUGAGCUAAUACCGCAUGUGUCCUUCGGGAGAAAGAUUUAUCGCCAAGAGAUGGGCCCGCGUCGGAUUAGGUAGUUGGUGGGGUAACGGCCUACCAAGCCGACGAUCCGUAGCUGGUCUGAGAGGAUGAUCAGCCACACUGGGACUGAGACACGGCCCAGACUCCUACGGGAGGCAGCAGUGGGGAAUAUUGGACAAUGGGCGCAAGCCUGAUCCAGCCAUGCCGCGUGAGUGAUGAAGGCCUUAGGGUUGUAAAGCUCUUUCGCCGGUGAAGAUAAUGACGGUAACCGGAGAAGAAGCCCCGGCUAACUUCGUGCCAGCCGCCGCCGUAAAAC